UAACGUUAUGUCAUCAUUAAUUGGGUUA
rnacentral:sRNA from 1 species